CAAGUAUAUCGCUGUGUAUGAU
rnacentral:siRNA from 1 species